rnacentral:lncRNA from 1 species
UCUAAACAGAAGACAAAACAGUGCCACAAGGAAAUGCUAAGCCCCUUCUCUGUCUUCCAGGUUGUCUGCAGCCAGAGAUGGAUCCUAACUGCUGUCUGCAGCCAGAGAUGGAUCCUAACUGUUGUCCGCAGCCAGAGAUGGAUCCUAACUUAAUCUUGCAGAAAACUACAACAGAACCUGGGCCACCUGUAAUAGUGAGACAAGACACAGGUAAGUGCCGUGUCUGCUCACCAGCCCUGGGGUUACUUCCUACACCCGCUGUCUUUCUGACUCCAGACAUUCAGUCUUUCCUGUUUCAUAUUGAACAGCUUCCUCUAAAGUUACCGGUAAAUAUUUUAGAAACUGAAAACCCUACAGAUAACAAGUCAGACAGUGAGCUGCCUGAAGGCGACUUCAAGUCAGUUAUACUCCUUUUGAGUAUUUUUAACUGGGUUAUUUUAUUCUUAACUUAUUUUCAAUGACAGAAUAAUGUUCACAUUGGUGGGCUACCAUGUAUACUUUGUUGUAUGAAUAUGACUUGUUGUCACCACAUCCAACUAGUGAGCACCCUCAUCUCUAUGGAGCAUCCUUUUGUUUAGUGUCUGUUUUCCUCUGCUGGCUCCUUCUAAAGCAUGGAACGCUUUGUUGGAAGGUGAUGUCCCCCUUACAGGAUGCCAGAAUGUACUCCUGAUGCUUUGAACAGUUUCUGAAAAUUGUUACCUAUGGAAAAAAAUGUCACCUGCUAUUUUUCUUAUUAGAGUUUAUAGGUAACUGGUGUUUUAAAACAAAAAGAGAAAGAAAAGAGAAAAGUAAGAGAUGGCAGAAACCAAAUGGAAUUAGCAAAGUCAAGUCAAUAGAAAUGUUACUUAUUUAUAAAAAAUAAAUAAAUAAAUAGAGAAAGAAAGAAAGAAGGAAGGAAGGAAGGAAGGUAGGAAGGAAGGAAGGAAGGUAGGAAGGAAGGAAGGAAGGAAGGAAGGAAGGAAGGAAGGAAGGAAGGGCGGGCCAGGGGAGAUACAGCAGGGGCCAAGACAGAAGAAGGCUCAGCCCUGCCCCCAGGAGUUCACUCAUGCAUUUGAACAUUCUGACAUGUUUCGUGCCCAAGGAGGUUGAGAGGAAGGUGGAAAGUAGUUCAGGGCUCCUACUUCUGACUACUUAACAAAACGAUCCUAGAACCUGAGUGUGUUUCCGCCCUCACUGGAAAGGACCCGUGAGCAUCGUGCUCUCUGUGCUGGCUUCACCAACUGCUGCAAUUCUAAGAAAGUUCCCAUUGGAUAAGUACAGCACCUGCUCGGGGCAGGCUUGUCUGCCUCCAUAUUAGGGUAGAGUACAAGGCCUCCUGAGUAGCAGAAUCUCUUGGUUUUUAAAGCAUAGGACAGAGGACUAGCACAAACAUCAGCAUUGACGGCAUUUUCCUGGUCAGUAAAAUGUCUUGCUAGAAUCAAGAAAGUUUUUACAGACUCAGGAAGAUGCACACUCCCCCAUGGUGUCCUCUACCCCCACAUGCACGCCAUGCCACACCAGUGCUCAGAGAGGGGAUAAAAAGUAAAAGAGGACUCCUGCAAGAUGUCACAGGUCACCUGCUGCUGCCCAGCAGGCUCCUGGGCCCAGCUGCUCUAGAGCACCCCAGCUUUCUGAGCCUGUCUGUGCAGCUCACAAAGUCCCACCCUUUCAACUAAAUGGAAUGAAAAUGGCAGACAGAAGUUAGAGAUGAGCAGGCAUCUCCCGGGUACCCUCUCCUGACUGUUCAACAAAAAGAAUGCAUUUUCAAAUACUAGAGGCAAGAGAUGAUGGGGAAAGACAGGGAGAAAAGUCCCGAGAGAGUAAGUAACAAAACCAGGGGGCAAAAACCCAAGAAAUGGAGUUUGUUCAGCUUCUGCAGUGUUUCAUCUCCCAGACAAAGGGAAAACGCUAGUCUCUUUUUCACCCUUUCAAAAUGACUAUGUCAGUGUAAGAAAAAAUGUAUUGCAGCCAUUCAUUAGCAGGGCCAGGAGGGUCUCUUCCCAGCCCAGAAUCCCUGUCUGGACAGACCUUACCAUUAGACUUCUGCUGUUGUCACUCCUGCUGCCGGUGUCAGCCCACACUAACUGCCUGUGUUUAAAUUUUUGCCCAAGUAGCAGUGCCUAUCUGUAAGUACAUUUUCUCUUCACCCAUCUGGUAGAAGUAGGGACACCUAGAGGAUCUCUAAUCAGUGGAAUGCUUUUGUUUAUGAAUACACAGAGCAUGUCCUCUUAAUGAGUGAUCUGUUAUUAUAAUGAAAGGUAAACACUUGGCUGAAAGACUGAGAAAGAAAAUUGCCAAAGCAACAUGUUAACAGUUUAGCUUUUCCUAUUUUUUUUUGCAAAAUCUUUAUUUUAUGUGCAUUGGUGUUUUUGCCUGCAUGUAUGUCUACGUGAGAGUUUGUGUCCCCUAGAUUGGCAUACCAGACAGUUGUGAGCUGCCAUGUGGUUUCAGGGAAACAGAGCAGCCAGUGCUCUUAACUACUGAGACCUCUCAGGUACAGAGGAUGAAUACCAGAUACAGAGAUAGCCAGGAAUGAGUGCAGGGCACACAGACCCAAGGAGGGAGCACAGGGAGAUGAGUACAGCCAGCAUCAGCUCAUGGACUGCUCCCAGUUAACAUUCCUACUGUAUGGGGAAAGGGAACCAUACACAGGGCCAGCCAGUCACACCAGACCAGACCCUGCCUUGUAUCAUAGAUAGCAUCCUGGGGGAGGUCUGGCAUCGGCAGAAGCACUAGCAAUGGUUAGCUCUUGGGGAAAAAACUACAAGGAAAGAGACUGGAGCCUUGUUCCAAAUAUUCUGCUAACAUGUUUUUAUUUCAUAUUGUCAUAUUUCACACUGCCUGGUACUUCCAUGCCUUUUGUGUUUGCACCAAUAGGCUGAGUUGACAGUUCCGGGAAAUUCACACUACUUCCUAUGGUUCUAUUCCCAGGUUGCACAGAUGGAAGACUUCCCAAAAAAAAAGCAGAUUCCAAAGCCCAGAUGAUAAAACACGGAAGGGCAGUCUUCCCGCAAGGAUGCAGGGAGACAUCGAAGAAGAAAACGGUGUUAGGUACCAAUGAGCCCUUUACAACGCUGCACAAAAAAGAGAUAAUAGGAAGAAUCAAGAGCACCCAUGCGGGGAUUGGGAACAGAGGACGGCUGAAGGGCGAGGCCAGGACUCCAAAGUUGAGCGACUCCCACCACAGGAACAGAUCUCGACUGCUCGAGUGCAACGAAGCCCAUGAAAGAAGGUGCGUGGGUGGCGUUCUAAAGAGACGCGAGGCCCAGACAACCAAUCAGAAAGGAAUUCCAAGAAGACUGGAAUCUCAAGUAAGGUUUCAAACAAAGCUCGAAAAAGAAAUUUCAGCUGAAGCCCUUUGGUGUGAACCAACACCACCAGUUUGCAGAAAUCCGGAAUCCCUCAUGAGGAAAAAUGUGGAAGGCAUACUGAAGAGACAGGAUUCACUUGAGGAAUAGCCACCGGCCACACAGAACCCCCAAGAAUGGUGUGCUGCUCCACCUCCUUGCCCUCUGCAACCCCAGCCAGAUGCACCUCCUCCUGCUACAAUUUAAGCCCCGCCAGAGGCACCUCCUGCUCCACCACGUGGGCCAUAGGGGCUUCCACUGUGAUCUUCAGGUUCAAGCUGUGUCUCUGCCCUCACCCCGGUGGAACAUGGUUACAAAAUCCAUUUCCUCUAGACAUCUUCGUUUUCUGCUAUUCAGAAGUUUGCCGUUAUUAGACUUCCCUGCCACAAACUACAUCUUCCCAAUUUUUCUCUGUAAGCCAAUACGUAUUAUAGACUCCAAUGAAGAAAGACAGUGUUCUCAGAAAUAAAAUGUCUUUACUAAAUAUCUAAUAACAUCCUUUGGCAGUGUUCUGUCUCUAGCUCACCUAGUUGACCUUAUGACCUUGAUGGCUGCAAAUGCUUUAUGAUCCACCAAAAAAAAAAAAAAAAAAAACCCAUAGGAAAUAAAGUCAGACCUCCUGCAACCAAGCAGUUUAUGACAGAAAGUGUCCAUGUAAGCACAAUCAUUUUAUUAAGAAUCAGUAUUAAAAUGUGUCCAAAAGUAGUUUAAAUGCAC